UUUUUUCAAGUCAGUGUUUGUCAAUGGUUUAUGUGCAAAAUAGAACUAUUUUUGAUGGGAUUCAACUGGAUUUUCACUAGUAAUACAUCAGGGAUGUUUGCAUAAUGUUCAGGUAAGAAUAAGUUUAUAUUUUAUUUAUAAUAAAGCAACUAUAAAGGAAAUACCUCCAAUCUUCUUUUGUGAAAUUCGAACAUGUGGUUCGAUAAAAUUUGAAUUUGCCGCGACAAUAUAAACGGAAUUAGAAUGCUGAUAUAAAUAUAUUUAUAGCGUUUAUACUUCAACAAAUGCUACUAUAAAAGUUUUAUAUUUGAAUCAGACUUAUCCAUGUUUAUUAAUAUAUUUGUAAAUCCCAAGUGCCAACUGUAUAUGCCAGAUUAAUUGUAAAUUGUCAGCCAUAUUUAAUGCAUGCCCAUAGAAAAUUUAACUACUUGCUCAAAUCAGCAGCAGUAUUUAUUCAUAUGUUUUGUUUAAAUUAAACAAUUUUCAUUUUGAGAGGUCUUGCACCGGUCAAUGUAUUAAAAUCUGUUAGCCUUUAGACAUGCUUUAGUGUAAUGCCAGGAAAAUUAUCCAUAUUUUUCUAUUAAUUAAACAUAACUAUGUGAUGGUAUUCAAAUUAACCAGACUCGAUCUCUGCUAGCUUACAUUUCAUGCUAACUUGUUAAGAUGAAUGUGCUCAACUUUCAGUACUUUUUUAUUUUACCUUGUCUAACACCAGAUCAUUUUACUUGAAAGAGAGUGGACAACUUUAAUAGGUUACCUUGCUGUCUCCAUGUGUUUUGUGUAAACUCAUUAAGACCCAAUUCACAAAUUCACACUAAUGUGCUCUAUUUCAAAGCUCAAUAUUUUGCCCUGUUAAUACCAGACUAUUUUGCAUUAUUUGGCAUUAGCACAUUUAGAUGCAAUUCACCCUAACACUCAAUCCCCACUUUCAGUACUUUGAUAUUUAUCAGAUGAUUUUACUAAUCAAAAUGAAUGUUGGUCAUUGAAAGGUUAAUAAUUAACUGGAAAAGCUGCUGUGUGGCAUAUUUAGAAGCAAUGUGCCCUACUUUUAGUACUUUGUUAUUUUACUGUGUUUAUUCUAUUAAAGUGCUAGACUCUCCACUUAGAGUAAAAUAAUAAAUUGGGUGCAUUUGGGCAUAUUUAAUGGGUUAACAAAACACAUUGGAAUGGUAUACGUAAAAUAAAUGUAUUUGUCUUUUUACAGCUAUCAACAAAGUAUGGAUGUAAGGCCUCAGAGGUUCGUCAACAUAUGAGGACAAAUAUAAACAACAUGGGAAAGUGCUGCAAAGUACAGAAAAGCAAACAAGAACAAGAACUUAUUUGAGGACUAUGUUUUGAGGCCAGUUUUAAACUUAACUUUAAAUGUCAAUUAUGGUUAUUACCUAUGGUUUAGCCCAUUAAGUGCCAGCGCUCUGACGAGUAAAAUCGUCUGGCGUUAGACAGAGUAAACUAUAGUAAAAUAAUAAAGUAAGGCGCAUCAGGGCGC